GAUGAAGAACGUAGCGAAACGCGAUAAGUAAUGUGAAUUGCAGAAUCCAGUGAAUCAUCGAAUCUUUGAACGCACAUUGCGCCCGCCAGCAUUCUGGCGGGCAUGCCUGUUCGAGCGUCAUUUCAACCCUCGACCUCCCCUUGGGGAGGUCGGCGUUGGGGACCGGCAGCACGCCGCCGGCCCUGAAAUGGAGUGGCGGCCCGUCCGCGGCGACCUCUGCGCAGUAAUACAGCUCGCACCGGGACCCCGACGCGGCCACGCCGUAAAACACCCAACUUCUGAACGUUGACCUCGAAUCAGGUAGGACUACCCGCUGAACUUAAGCAUAUCAAUAAGCGGAGGA
rnacentral:misc_RNA from 1 species